AUUUAUAUAGUUUAAAUAAAACAUUACAUUUUCAUUGUAAUAAUAAAAUAAAUAUAAUUUUUAUAAAUA
rnacentral:tRNA from 1 species